ACAAAUAAAGUGUUUUGUAGUAGCUGUGGUGCUGCAGUUGUUGUACCUGCAGUAAUUUAAAUGUGUUUUAUUUUACAGAGAGCGACAGCAUGGCGGUCUACUCCUCAGUGAAAACUAAAGAUCUUAGUUAUGAACAAGUAGCCAUCAACCCAAAGAGGACCAGAGACUUUAAACCAGAGUCAGACGUCGUCUAUUCCUCACUGAAGUAGUCCACCAGUCCAACCACUGAUGUCCAACUGGUGGUCUCUAACUGGUCCCCCAGCACCUCAGACCAGAGGACAUCCACAUGUUACAGAUUUUAUUAAAUAUAUUUUAUGUCUUAAUCUGCUGUUGUUGGACCCGUGAUUCAUAAUUUGCAUUUUGAUGCAAAAUCAUCAAUGUGAAAUAUUUAUAUAAAUAAUGUAAAAUAAGGAUAUUUCUAUGUAAUAUUAAAAACUUCCAGAUG